GUCUAGGGGUAUAUACAUCGACAAUGAAAGCAUAGCCUUCAUAUAGGGUUUGCAAUACUGAUAGUCUGUGUCAUGAGCGUAAUGCAGACAUGCGGUUAGGUCCUUUUCCAUUGUUAUAAUAUAUUGAAAACACUAAGACCUUACAAAAAAAAUUUAAACACAUAUUGCUUCCUGUACCUGUUGCCGUGCAAGGAUGUAGUUGGGACAUAUUUCAAAUUGAGUGUCAAAAGUCUAACCAUAAAACUAAAUGUUAUACGCUUAUCAAGAAAACAAGUUUAACCCGUUAGUGCAUACUUUGGAUAGCCUCUUUGCAUAAUUUGGCACCUAGUGAGAUUAUUAUAUUAUUUAUUAAUGCUCUUCUGGAUCUGCAAAAUGCUUUCAAUUUACCCAUACAAAUAUAAUACAGUAGUUUAGGAGAUUAAAAUUACCUCACUUAUAAAUUUCAGAAAAUGUCUAAUCUCUAUUAAAAUACCAUGUUAUUAUUACCCCAUAAUCAAUGAGGCAUACUAGAUGAAUCUUACUUUGACACAAACAAUGCAAUAUACUUUAAAAGUAGAGUUAACUCUGAGCUGGACAAUACUCCCCUAUUAGAACUCCUUUAUGAGGGAGAGACAUCUUGUCCAUUCAAUCCUUUUUAUCAGUAAAAGAAUGACUUUCAGGAUUAAUCAAUUUGCAAAUGGAAACGUGGACCCACGAUUUGAACAGCAGAAGUUUGCAGGGCCCCUUUCACGUGGGAUGUAACAAGCGCUUUUCGUGCUCCAGGAGCGAUAGCAUACAAUUGUUUCAUUCUAGCCGGCUGGACAGCAUUUCACCUUUUGUAAAAACACUAAAUGCUUGCGUUAAUGAUAUGCAAAUCACUCUGAUAGUUAAACUCCUACACAAUGAAGCAUGUGUUGGACCGCUGAAAAUGUAAAUGUUGCUCUCUUAUUAACAAACAAAAAUCAUAUUUACAGUAUGGAUCCUUUGCAACAAACACACAGGGCAGGGAAGAUGUGCUGAUUGGUAUUCUAUACAAUUAAUCCCAUAUGGGGAAUUAACUUUCAAAUACUAAUGAAGUGACUUUUUGUCUCAGUUCUAAAAAUACUGAGCUCAUCAUGCAAACAAUGCAACACACUUACACUAUCCCACUCUCAUAGAAAGUGUAGUGGGCUUAUGGUAUUAAAGUAACAAUCAUACCAGGCACACAGAUCCCAUGUGAAAUAACUUGCAAUAAAGCAGAGUAAUAAACUUAUACUUCUAUGCAACAGAAAGAAUAAAGCAAAAGAUUUAAGUAGGUCUAUCAGGC